AUUGAACGCUGGCGGCAGGCCUAACACAUGCAAGUCGAGCGAGCGGCGGACGGGUGAGUAAUGUAUGGGGAUGUGCCCGAUCGAGGGGGAUAACUACUGGAAACGAUGGCUACUACCGCAUACUAUAGGAUGGACCCAUAUGGGAGUAGCUAGUGGGUGGGGUAAAGCCACACCUAGGCGACGAUCUCUAGCUGGUCUGAGAGGAUGAACAGCCACACUGGAACUGAGACACGGCCCAGACUCCUACGGGAGGCAGCAGUGGGGAAUAUUGCACAAUGGGCGCAAGCCUGAUGCAGCCAUGCCGCGUGUAUGAAGAAGGCCUUAGGGUUGUAAAGUACUUUCGGUGGGGAGGCGUUACCCACAGAAGAAGCACCGGCUAACUCCGUGCCAGCAGCCGCGGUAAUUC
rnacentral:rRNA from 1 species